rnacentral:lncRNA from 13 species
AGCUCGUAUACCUUUUCCUUAGCAUUUUAAUGUCGAUGGUGUGGGAGCAUAUGUUUCAGAAGCUGAAAGAAACUUAAGCCCUUCUGUAGGAUACUGGCUCAGUCACCACACACACAGCUUCAGUCGAAGGUGAAAAGUGUUCGGGGAGCUGUGGAGAGACACCGAGCUGUCUCUAGGAUAGCCAUGCAGCCGGCCCCUCUCCAGACCUUCCUGCUGUGAGGGCCUGGAGGCUCAGCCAGAGGAAGUAACACACCC